rnacentral:rRNA from 1 species
UGGUCUUAGCUUGCUAAGUUUGAUGGCGACCGGCGCACGGGUGAGUAACACGUAUCCAACCUGCCGUCUACUCUUGGACAGCCUUCUGAAAGGAAGAUUAAUACAAGAUGGCAUCAUGAGUUCACAUGUUCACAUGAUUAAAGAUUUAUCGGUGUACGAUGGGGAUGCGUUCCAUUAGAUAGUAGGCGGGGUAACGGCCCACCUAGUCUUCGAUGGAUAGGGGGACUGAGAGGUUAACCCCCACAUUGGUACUGAGACACGGACCAAACUCC